AUGACCUUCCAACCCCCCUGCUCCCAUCUGCCCUUCCCAAUCCUCACCUUCCCCUUCCCCUCUCCCACUCGGCUCUUUCCCUCACUUUCCACUGCCCCGUCCCCUCCUCCCCACCCCGUCCUUAGAAUCCCACUUUACCAGCGCCAACCCUCAGCCCCCUUCCCUUGCGCUCUUCCCCACCGGACCCCUUCCUCCCGUCCCCUUCCCUUCCCUCUUCCCCGCCCACGUCCCGUCCCCUUUCUCCUGUCCCAUCGCCACCCCUCAUCCCCCUCUCCCCACCCAGGUCCCCGCCAUCUCAUUUCCAUCCAGACCCUCCCCUCCUCCCGCUCCCUUCCCCCUCCUCCUCCACAGCUGCUGCCAAGCGUGGCCUAUUGGCAACCCCCCGCUCCAUUAGAGGUUAAGCUCCCUUUCAUCCUUGACCUAUUCCUUUCCCGCUGUCUCCUCCUCCUCGCCCUGACGGAGACCUGGCUCACCCCUGAGGACACGAUCUCUUCUGCUGCUCUCUCCAGCGGAGGCCUCUCCUUCUCCCACUCCCCCAGUCUCACCGGGAAAGGAGGAGGUGCCGGCUUCCUUCUCGCACCCCAAUGCCGCUUCCGCACUAUUCUCCCUCCCCCUUCCCUCUCCUUCCCCUCCUUCGAAGCUUAUAUCAUUCGCCUCUACCACCCCCUCCAGAUGCCUGUAGCCGUCAUCUCCCGCCCCCCUCCUUCGCAAGAAACAAAAACCCCUCGCUCUUGGUUUCAAAACUCUCCAUCACCUUGCCCCCUCUUGCCUCCCCUCCCUUCUCUCUUUCUACUGCCCACCCCGUACACUCCGCUCCUCUCCCGCUCGCCUCCUCGCGGUUCCUUGUUCUCACCUGUCCCGCCGUCGACCCCUGGCCCACGUCCUCCCGCUGUCCUGGAACGCCCUCCCUCCUCACCUCCGCCAAACGAACUCUCUUCCCCUCUUCAAAGCCCUACUGCGAGCUCAUCUCCUCCAGGAGGCCUUCCCAGCCUGAGCCCCCCCUUUCCCUCUGCUCCUCCUCCCUUCCCCAUUCCUCCCCCCGCCCCCGCUCGCCCUCCGCUCUUCCUCCUUCCCCUACCCCACAGCACUGAGCAUAUUUGUAUAUAUUAUUUAUUACUCUAUUUAUUUUGUUAA
rnacentral:lncRNA from 1 species